GGUAGUCAUUGUGGCAUGACGCCUUACAGUUCUUAGGAAGAGGAAUGAUGGUGGUCAUCUUGAGAUGUGGGGAUUACAGACUGGGAUAAGGAGAGGUUGAAAAUGACUGUGAAUAUGCCUGCCAGCUGUUCUGAGCAUGCUCUGAGAAUGCACCCUGGAAUACCGUCUGGCCCCGCAGCCUUGUGGGUGUUCACCUGAUUAAAGACCUUACUCAUCUCGGCCUCAGAAAGCGAGAUCACCCAGUCCUGUGUGUCGGUGACGGAGGUUUGGUCAAACAGGCAAGGUGGCCAGUCAGUUUAGACUGAGGUUUGGUCAAACAGGCAAGGUGACCAGUCAGUUUAGACUGAGGUUUGGUCAAACAGGCAAGGUGGCCAGUCAGUUUAGACUGAGGUUUGGUCAAACAGGCAAGGUGGCCAGUCAGUUUAGACUGAGGUUUGGUCAAACAGGCAAGGUGGCCAGUCAGUUUAAACUGAGGUUUGGUCAAACAGGCAAGGUGGCCAGUCAGUUUAGACUGAG
rnacentral:lncRNA from 1 species